rnacentral:rRNA from 1 species
CCUACGGGAGGCAGCAGUGGGGAAUAUUGCACAAUGGGGGAAACCCUGAUGCAGCGACGCCGCGUGAGUGAAGAAGUAAUUCGUUACGUAACGCUCUAUCAGCAGGGAAGAAACACUGACCUUACGGUCAGCAGACGGUACCUGAGUACGAAGCCCCGGCUAACUACGUGCCAGCAGCCGCGGUAAUACGUAGGGGGCAAGCGUUUUCCGGAUUUACUGGGUGUAAAGGGAGCGUAGACGGUGCGCCAAGUCUGGAGUGAAAUGCCGCAGCUUAACUGCGGAACUGCUUUGGAAACGGGCGAACGAGAGUGCGGGAGGGGUAAGCGGAAUUCGUAGUGUAGCGGUGAAAUGCGUAGAUAUUAGGAGGAACACCGAUGGCGAAGGCGGCUUACUGGACCGUAACUGACGUUGAGGCUCGAAAGCGUGGGGAGCAAACAGGAUUAGAUACCCGAGUAGUC